UCUCCGGUGUCGGGAGACAUGUUAAUGGUUCUCUAAAGAAAUUCGGAGUGAAAAAACGUUGAAGCAGGUGUUGGAUGUGGUGUUGGGUUCAGCCAUGGUUUUGGAAUAGGACUUGCCUUGAAGCCUGGAGUUAUUCAGCGGGUUCAAUCUUCUAUUGCUCUAACAAUGGCUAAAAUCAUGAUGCGUUUGGGAAUUGCUCCCAAGAUCCCUUCAACUCAGAAUAUCAAGCCUGGGUCAUUUCCUAGUAAAAGUGCUCAAUCCUCAAUUGGCAGUGUACUAAAUUUGGGAACAAAAACUA